AUUGAACGCUGGCGGCAGGCCUAACACAUGCAAGUCGAACGAGUGGCGGACGGGUGAGUAAUGUCUGGGAAACUGCCUGCUGGAGGGGGAUAACUACUGGAAACGGUAGCUAAUCCCGCAUACUAUCGGAUGUGCCCAUAUGGGAUUAGCUAGUAGGUGGGGUAAAGGCUCACCUAGGCGCCUAUCCCUAGCUGGUCUGAGAGGAUGACCAGCCACACUGGAACUGAGACACGGCCCAGACUCCUACGGGAGGCAGCAGUGGGGAAUAUUGCACAAUGGGCGCAAGCCUGAUGCAGCCAUGCCGCGUGUAUGAAGAAGGCCUUCGGGUUGUAAAGUACUUUCAGCGGGGAGGCGUUACCCGCAGAAGAAGCACCGGCUAACUCCGUGCCAGCAGCCGCGGUAAUAC
rnacentral:rRNA from 1 species